rnacentral:rRNA from 1 species
GAUGAACGCUAGCGGCAGGCUUAAUACAUGCAAGUCGAGGGGUAGCAAGAUUGUAGCAAUACAAUUGUUGACGACCGGCAAACGGGUGCGGAACACGUACACAACCUUCCUACAAGUGGGGGAUAGCCCAGAGAAAUUUGGAUUAAUACCCCGUAACAUAGCGAUGUGGCAUCACAUUGCUAUUAUAGCUUCGGCGCUUGUUGAUGGGUGUGCGGCUGAUUAGAUAGUUGGCGGGGUAACGGCCCACCAAGUCUACGAUCAGUUGGUGAUGUUCGAGAAUGAUCAGCCGAACGGGCAGUGAGACACGGGCCCGACUCCUACGGGAGGCAGCAGUAAGGAAUAUUGGACAAUGGACGCAAGUCUGAUCCAGCCAUGCCGCGUGAAGGAUUAAGGUCCUCUGGAUUGUAAACUUCUUUUAUAAGGGACGAAAAAAGGUCUUUCUAGAUCGUCUGACGGUACCUUAUGAAUAAGCACCGGCUAACUCCGUGCCAGCCGCCGCCGUAACAC